rnacentral:tRNA from 1 species
GGCGGUGUAGCUCAGUAGGCAGAGCAGCGGACUCAUAAGCCGCGGGUCACAGGUUCGAGUCCUGUCACCGCCA